AGAGUUUGAUCCUGGCUCAGAUUGAACGCUGGCGGCAUGCCUUACACAUGCAAGUCGAACGGCAGCACGGGGGCAACCCUGGUGGCGAGUGGCGAACGGGUGAGUAAUACAUCGGAACGUGUCCUGUAGUGGGGGAUAGCCCGGCGAAAGCCGGAUUAAUACCGCAUACGAUCUACGGAAGAAAGCGGGGGAUCCUUCGGGACCUCGCGCUACAGGGGCGGCCGAUGGCAGAUUAGCUAGUUGGUGGGGUAAGGGCCUACCAAGGCGACGAUCUGUAGCUGGUCUGAGAGGACGACCAGCCACACUGGGACUGAGACACGGCCCAGACUCCUACGGGAGGCAGCAGUGGGGAAUUUUGGACAAUGGGGGAAACCCUGAUCCAGCAAUGCCGCGUGUGUGAAGAAGGCCUUCGGGUUGUAAAGCACUUUUGUCCGGAAAGAAAGCUUCCGCCCUAAUACGGUGGGAGGAUGACGGUACCGGAAGAAUAAGCACCGGCUAACUACGUGCCAGCAGCCGCGGUAAUAC
rnacentral:rRNA from 1 species